AAACUAGGAUUAGAUACCCUAUUAUUUUAGGAGCUUAACAUUGUAAGUAAAUAAAGAUUAUGAAAGCAAAAAAUUAUGGCGGUAUUUUAAGCUUUUCAGAGGAAUUUGCUCUUUAAUGGAUAAAACACCUAAAUCUUACUUAAAUUUGUUAAUUCAAUUUGUAUACCACUAUAAAAACAAUUUAUAACUUUAAUUGUUUAAAUUUAUUAAAUUAAAAUAUAUUAAGUCAAGGUGCAGUAAAAAUUUAAGGAUGAAGUGAAUUACAUUACUCUUUAGAGAAACAAAUUUAAAAUAAUAUUUAGGAUUUGAAAGUAAAAUUAAAAUAGAAUGUUAGUUUGAAUUAAGCUCUAAAAUAUGUACAUAUCGCCCGUCACUCUUUAUUAAGAUAAGUCGUUACAUAG
rnacentral:rRNA from 1 species